UACGUAGGUGGCAAGCGUUGUCCGGAUUUACUGGGCGUAAAGGGAGCGUAGGCGGAUACUUAAGUGGGAUGUGAAAUACCUGGGCUUAACUUGGGUGCUGCAUUCCAAACUGGGUGUCUAGAGUGUUGGAGAGGAAAGUGGAAUUCCUAGUGUAGCGGUGAAAUGCGUAGAGAUUAGGAAGAACACCAGUGGCGAAGGCGACUUUCUGGACAAUAACUGACGCUGAGGCUCGAAAGCGUGGGGAGCAAACAGGAUUAGAUACCCUGGUAGUCCACGCCGUAAACGAUGGGUACUAGGUGUAGGAGGUACCGACUCCUCCUGUGCCGCCGUUAACACAAUAAGUACCCCGCCUGGGGAGUACGGUCGCAAGAUUAAA
rnacentral:rRNA from 1 species